rnacentral:rRNA from 1 species
UAAUCCCAGCAGUCCAAAUGGCAACCAACUUUAUUGGGUCUAAAGCGUUCGUAGCUGGCUUAGAAAGUUUCCUGUGAAAUGUUAUGGCUUAACUAUAACGCGGGCGGGAAAUACUUCCAGGCUAGAGACUGGGAGAUGGAAGGAGUACGCCUAAGGUAGCAGUAAAAUGCUUUAAUCUUAGGUGGACUAACAAUGGCGAAGGCACCUUCCAAGAACAGAUCCGACGGUGAGGGACGAAGGCUAGGGUCGCGAACAGGAUUAGAUACCCUGGUAGUCCUAGCUGUAAACGCUGCUCACUAAACAUUGCGCUCUCCUCGAGAGAGUGCAGUGCUGAAGCGAAGGCGUUAAGUGAGCCACCUGGGGAGUAUAGUCGCAAGGCUG